CAGCCGCCGCGGGAAUACGAAGGGUGCAAGCGUUACUCGGAAUUACUGGGCGUAAAGCGUGCGUAGGUGGUGGUUUAAGUCCGUUGUGAAAGCCCUGGGCUCAACCUGGGAAUUGCAGUGGAUACUGGGUCACUAGAGUGUGGUAGAGGAUAGUGGAAUUUCCGGUGUAGCAGUGAAAUGCGUAGAGAUCUGGAGGAAUACCGGUGGCGAAGGCGGCCCCCUGGACAAAGACUGACGCUCAGGUGCGAAAGCGUGGGGAGCAAACAGGAUUAGAUACCCCCGUAGUCCCUGUCUCUUAUAC
rnacentral:rRNA from 1 species